UUUAAGCAUUACUUUUAUAAUUUCUUAUUCAGAAACACAAAAUUAUGCUAUUUUUUUUUAUUUUUUAUUAUGUAAAAUAUUAAGCACUGCUGCUAUGCUUGGAUGACAUGUUCAGUGUUGCCAAGUGAUUCAAGUGAAAAGCCACAAUAGGUUUUCUUCUUUUAAAACACGCUACUUAAAACAAAUGUACAUAUUUUUGUAAAAUAAUUGUUUGGUCUUUAGGGUCUCGAUCACUUUUGUAAUUAGUUUCAAACACUGUAUGUGUUGUUUGUGGCUAUCAGUAUUUUAUAGCAAUAUUUUUUCACUCUCAAAUUUAAAAGUCAAUGGCAUAUGAAAUCCAGGGAGCACUUCACGUAAGAAAAGGACGUGUUUGCUUAUGAAUCCACAGAAAUCUGUUUUCCUGAAGUUUGAUGCAAAAAGGAUUCAAGCAGAAAUGAUGGUGUACAGGAGAAAAAAACCCAACAAAUGACUGAACCAUGAUGAUCUUCUGAAAACAGAGGAGAACUUCAAGAUGAUCCAGUUAACCAUUUUCAUAUAAGAUCCCAAAAGAGGAGCCAUAAUCAUGACAACAGACUCUUCAGACCUUCUGAAAACCUCUGCAGAAACCUGUGCCUUCAAACCCUGUGUAUUUAUCGUUUUUUGUAUGGGACCAGCAUAUGAUAACUGAUACUGCACUUCUGACAGACACCUUUAUGAACUGAAUAGGUGGACUAAGUCAUGAUGAGAUCAAAUUUCUGUGGACCAUACUAUCUGUUGUAGGACACC